rnacentral:tRNA from 4 species
CUGCCUUGAUCCACUUGGCUACAUCCGCC